GUAACACAUUAUUUAGAAAAGUAGAGUGACUUUCACAAUGAAAUAGAGCAACUUGCAUCAAUCACCUAUUCAUUUUUUAUUAACCUUAAGUUUGUGACCUAGGGUAACACACAAUCACAAAAAUCAUCAAUGCACUUCGAAACAUUAGGAAGUUCACAUGGCCAUUGAACAUCACAAUCUUCGUCCCGAUGGCAAGGAGCUUUAUCUACAAUGUCAAAUAGUAAAUAAAAUAAAUAUUGUUACUAUCGUUUAUAUUGUUAAAGAGAAAUUUUUUAUAAUGGUGUGAAGAAAUGACUUACGAAUUAUAAUUGCUACACGAAUUUGGCAAGAAAUAUAGGUUACAAGAAGAAACAUAGAAAGAAAUAUUAUUAAAGCAUAAGUAAACUUUUGAAUUUGAGCCAUAUCUUUCUUUCUUUGCA
rnacentral:lncRNA from 1 species